rnacentral:rRNA from 1 species
GAUGAACGCUGGCGGCGUGCCUAAUACAUGCAAGUCGAGCGAACGGACGAGAAGCUUGCUUCUCUGAUGUUAGCGGCGGACGGGUGAGUAACACGUGGAUAACCUACCUAUAAGACUGGGAUAACUUCGGGAAACCGUAGCUAAUACCGGCUAAUAUUUUGAACCGCAUGGUUCAAAAGUGAAAGACGGUCUUGCUGUCACUUAUAGAUGGAUCCGCGCUGCAUUAGCUAGUUGGUAAGGUAACGGCUUACCAAGGCAACGAUGCAUAGCCGACCUGAGAGGGUAGUCGGCCACACUGGAACUGAGACACGGUCCAGACUCCUACGGGAGGCAGCAGUAGGGAAUCUUCCGCAAUGGGCGAAAGCCUGACGGAGCAACGCCGCGUGAGUGAUGAAGGUCUUCGGAUCGUAAAACUCUGUUAUUAGGGAAGAACAUAUGUGUAAGUAACUGUGCACAUCUUGACGGUACCUAAUCAGAAAGCCACGGCUAACUACGUG